UACGUAGGGUGCGAGCGUUAAUCGGAAUUACUGGGCGUAAAGCGUGCGCAGGCGGUUUUGUAAGCCAGAUGUGAAAUCCCCGGGCUUAACCUGGGAAUGGCAUUUGGGACUGCAAGGCUGGAGUUUGGCAGAGGAGACUGGAAUUCCCGGUGUAGCAGUGAAAUGCGUAGAUAUCGGGAGGAAUACCAGUGGCGAAGGCGGCCUUCUGGACGGAUACUGACGCUGAGGCGCGAAA
rnacentral:rRNA from 1 species